AACGGGCGGGGCAGGGCGGGGCGGGGGUUGUUCCUGGGGCGGCAGCGUGGCUGUCCCCCUCAGUCCUGUGUGCUGAAGCACGACACCAGCCUCCUCAUGCAAAGUCUUAAUAUGCACUGAGCAAACGCACCGUUUUAGAGUCCAUCUUCAUUCAUUUAGCAGCAGAGCUACAGAACCUUUAACAGACUAUAGAGGGAGUUUCAGGGGGACCAGAUGGUCAGGAGCUCUGACUGGAUCUGUCCGUCACAGCAGGUCAGAGAGGAGCAGAGAUGGCGGUUUCUUAGUGGAAGAGAGGAGCAGAGAUGGCAGUUUCUCUGAGGAGAGAAGAGCAGAGAUGGCAGUUUCUCUGAGGAGAGAGGAACAGAGAUGGCGGUUUCUCUGAGGAGAGAGGAGCAGAGAUGGCGGUUUCUCUGAGGAGAGAGGAGCAGAGAUGGCAGUUUCUCUGAGGAGAGAGGAGCAGAGAUGGUGGUUCCCCUGAGGAGAGAGGAGCAAAGAUGGUGGUUUCUCAGUGGAAGAGAAGAGUAGAGAUGGCGGUUUCUCAGUGGAAGAGAAGAGUAGAGAUGGCGGUUGAGGAGGUAGGAGCCAAAAUGGCGGUUUCUCUGAGGAUGUAGGAGCCAAAAUGGCGGUUUCUCUGAGGAUGUAGGAGCCAAAAUGGUGGUUUCUCUGAGGAGGUAGGAGCCAAAAUGGCGGUUUCUCAGAGGAGGUAGGAGCCAAAAUGGUGGUUUCACUGAGUGAAGCAGGGAUGGAACCUGCUCUGUAGUCUCUGUUAAAAUGUGAUCAUGUCCAGAUCAUCAUACGUUAAUGGUGCAUUUUCCAUAUCAGUAAAUUAAAACAGACUGAUUCAAUUAGAACAAUCAGAAUUACACCAUUUAGACAAAGAGAACAUUACACAAUAUCAAUCAAAUAAUCUUAAUUUUACAUCCAUGCAUACACAUGAAAUAUGUAAUAUUGCAAUAUAUGUAAUCAGGAAAUUACUGAAGGCUUGUCUACUUUUCCUGCUGUACUGUGUCUUGAGUGACACGUACAGGAAGAGUAAAGGCUUGGAAGCACCCCACCCUGGUGAAAAAAAAUAGCAACAACCACAGCCUAUAGAUAUAUAUGUAUAUUUAAAAAAAAUACAAAAUUUAUGCUGUUUUUAAUGUUUUGUACAUUUUUAUGUAAUACGAGUAUUUCAGGAAUUUUUCAGUCAGAAAAAUCUACUUUAACUUAUUUAAAGGAUUUGCUGGACAGGGUCUGGGGAAAUGAGGCUAUUUUUAAAGUAUAGUGUACUGCUACCGGGACAGGGGAUACCUACAAGUUUCUUACUAUAUAUAGCACAAUCUUUAUCAUGCAGACAUGGCACUGAAUUAAUGGAGGUCCUUAGAGCAACGUAGGGUAACUGUUGAAGUGUCGUUUUAAACGCGAGUCAAAACACAGCCAUGGGCUCUUUCUGAUUGGUCAAAACACAGCCAUGGGCUCUUUCUGAUUGGUCAAAACACAGCCAUGGGCUCUUUCUGAUUGGGUUACUGCUCAGUGCCAUGUGUCCCCACAUUUAUAACGCCGAAUCACUGGUUCUGCACAGUUUGGAAAGUCCUGGUUGGCUUUUUGCCAUGUGAUUUCAGGCUUUUUAAACUGUGUGUGUGCUUGCAUGCGUGUGCGUGCAGUUGUGUGUGUGUGCAUGUGUGCGCGCAUGCGUGUGCGUAUGCUUGUGUGUGUGUGUGUCUGUGUGUUGACUGUGGUGAUCUGUCCUAAAUGGACUCACUGAUUCUGGGUCAGUUACCCCUGAUGGUAUGCUGCCAGCCUGCCAUUGGACAUGCAUUGUGAUUGGACGUGGCGUUCCAUACCCAUGUGUGAGCCAAUCAGAAGCCGUGGGGCGGGGUCUCACAGGAAGGACAUCAGACUGAGGCCCCUGCUGGACCAAAUUAAAGAUGGCCUCACUGUUCCAUGAGAAAUGGCACAUUUAAUGCCAUGAAGCAAACAUCCAAACAUCCUGUUGUAAACCUUAUACGCAUAUACACAGUACUUACCCUCUCCUGCAUAAGCACUGCUGUACAUCUGUGUGUUCAUAACCAGCCUCUUGCACUGAGCUUUACUCAGUGAAUACUGUAGCUACGCAAGUCUUCUUUCUAGGCCAUACAGUGAGCAUUCUGAUUCAGCACUGAGCACGCUCAUUCUGGAGCACUGAGCACUGAGCAUGUUCAUUCUAGAGCACCGAACUCUCAGCUCAUUCUAGAGCACUGAGCACUGAGCAUGUUCAUUCUAGAGCACUGAACUCUCAGCUCAUUCGAGAGCACUGAACACUGAGCAUGCUCAUUCUGGAGCACUGAGCACUCAACACGCUCAUUCUGUGACACUGAGCACUGAGCAUACCCAUUCUGAGUCAGGCUGUUCUCCAUGUGUCUGUUACUCUGGUAUUGCCCGUAAUAUGUGUGUAGUUUCAUCACAUCGAUAAUUUAACCUUAACACUUUUUUAAAUAACUUGUCGUUUAGCACAUGUUGGAAUUAAUGUAUCACUGUAGUGUAAAACCAGGCUAUUCUAUCAAAUAAUACAGUAUGUUUAGUACACUAUAGCGUUUCUGCAAAAAAGGCAAACCCUCCCCAGCUUUGCAAAACCUGCGGAACAGAAAAUUUUCAGUGAAGGGAAGAAAUCCAGAAGACACACAGGCACAUGCGCACACAUGCGCACAGAUGCGCACACAUGCGCACACAUGCGCACACAUGCACUCAGAUGCGCAUAUGCACGUGCACGCACAAGCAUGCACUUGUCCACAGAGGGAAACAUGCACACAAGCAUGCACACACACACACACACACACACACAAAUGUGCAAAAACAUGCGCAAAUGCACACAUGCUUUAAAUGUACUACAAAGUGUCAGCCAAGGAAAUGCAGGCACUUGGGUGAAGUUCCUGCACAUUUCCUGCAGCUUUAUUAAGCUUUGACCUGUAUGAAGGAUGCAAGUACUGUAACAUGAGAAGGCCUGUAGAGAACAAUAGCACUGUAACAUCUCCCUGUAUGUCUAUCCCCAUCUCACAUAUAUGCAUGCAUUCCAUAUGUAAACUUAAGCAGUAGACAUCAUAUAAAACAAACACAGCGAAUGCGUUGUGUGUGCAGUUUACACUAGUACAGGCUUCCUCUGUCUUACGCAAAAUGCACAUGGUUAGAUUCACCAUUUAAGCCACCGCAAAGACCUGUUUUAGACACAAGUACUGGCUGCAGUUACAGCACAUACACGUUUCAGCUUUUUAUCUGUACAAAAAAGCAGCUAUAUAAACGUUUGCCUGUUUAGAUGGUGCGCUGUAAAAUCUGUGUAAGUCAUACCUGUUUCGUUAACCCCCCCCCCCCCCCCCCCCCAAAAAAAGGCUCAGAUUCAGGGGGAAAAAACGCACUGGUUGUACAGUCCCUGUUCAUAACCUUACGGAAAUGUUAUGUCUUAUCCACAGAUUUUACAGAGCUGCAUGCUAAAGCCACAAGUAGUAAGUGUGAAAACAUAUUAUAUCCGUUACUGCACACCCCUAGCCAUGCGUUCCAUAACCGUAUGAUUGAUAAACUAAUGCGUAAACAAACACGAAGGCUGUUACAUUCUGUAUAGCAACAGAAAGAAAAAAGAAAAAGACCAGAUAUUUAAUCAUCCUUAUAAUGCUACCAUACAUUAGGACGUGUUUUGUAACCCCCCGCAUUCAUACUGCAUAUUGAAAAGUUAUGCUUUUUUAAAAUUUACUGUUUUAACAGUCGCGUGUUGUUGAAUGUUACAUUAACUGCUGACAGUGCGUGCAAUCAGGAACCGGAAGAGGGUUAUCAAUCGCAUUUCUCACAUUCAUUGAAUUUGGAGCAAAUCAGUCAUUGUUAGCUCUUAUUUUUAAAACUCACAUUGCUGAUGUCCAAUCCCACGUGAACAUGGCUGGAUGAAUACAAACUAAUGCAAACCUCACAUCAAAUUGUCAGGCAGGUGGGGGAAAUUUGUAUUUUAAAAAUGUUACAAAGAAGGACUCUAAUUAUGCAUUUUUUUUGUUGUUGAAUGGGCAUGUAUAAUGUGUACAGAUUGUGUUGGCACGGUUAACAGCAUUUAUGUAGUUAUUUAUCAGUUUGUAGAAAUUGUGCGUUGUUAUCAGUUUUUAGAAGCUGUUUUGUCAUUUGACCCCUUUUAACUUCAACUCUGGGAGGAAUUGGAAAAAAAGUUCCUUCGCGGUAUUACCGAUGCUGGAACAUUAAGCCUUAUGAACUUUGUAAAGUGAAUUUUGAAUGUUUGUAUGUUCAAACAAAAUAUGGAUUGUUUUAUAUGUUAUUACUGCCACAAUAAAAUCCCAAAUUAAUAUCGAAAAUGCUGGUAUACACGUGUUAUAUUUUUCCAGUGCAAAGUAUAUGCAUACCAAAAGAGAUCAAACAACAAAGUAGUUCAAAUGUGGAGGUUUCGCUUCCGAUUAUUCCGGACAGACUUCUCAAUUUUAGCGGUCCAAUGCUAAACUGACGGAUCAGUCUCUUGCAACGUCGGAGCUACUUUGGAAUUUAACAGCUAUCCCGUUUCUGCUCUCAGCUUGUGCAGCUACUUUAGUUACCCUUUACCUGUGGUCAUGUUCUGUGCUACUUUUAUGGUAUCAUCGGGUAUCCAUAUGUCUUCCACCGUUAAAACGAUAAUACUGUCCUGCAGUACGUCAGCUAACUGGCUACUUGUAGCAGGCAGCCAGCACGUAAACACGCGGCGACUACCUCUGUUCUGUCGCUGAAACGCGUUAGCUGCUAUGAUUUCCGCUUUGCGAGCGUGGCCAGGUCGCUAUAGUAACACCUGGGUUAGAAGCACGCACUUCAAAUGGGGUCUGAGCGUACGCAUCUCCCGGUGGCACGCGACAGAGAACUUAAUCAGGCUCAGACCCCCACACCCCGGCCCGGCACCCCACAUUUGGACACCCUCAGAACCAAGCGCCUGCAGUUCUGCAGCAAAUACGAGAGCGUCCAGAAAUCCCAAAGUACAGCUCCCCAUGCAGACGGGCCAAGCGACAAGCCGUUCUCUGUGUACAAUGGGCCGGUCUCUACGGACCCGGCCGCGGGCGUGGCAGAACUGGACCCACUGCUGUUACGGGACUCCGGUGUGCCGGAACACCGGAAGCUUCGGCACGUGUUAGCCUGGGCUCAGAACUUCAUCAGAACCGGGCCCACGGACCCUCCUGCUGUGGGUCAGGGGCGUGUGUCUCCCACAAACACCGACCGUGUGACAAAUGCAAAAUCCAGUCAUGUGACUCUUACCAACAGGGAAGAAUUACCCACCAGGCAGGUUCUCCAGUCCCCAGAAAUUUAUUUUUCACCCCAGUCCUGCACCCUCUCCCCACCCAGCUCUGAGCCUCAGUCCCAUCUUCAAUCCCAACCCUGCCUUGAGCCUGACCCCCUGCCCCGCCCCCUCUCCCUAACCUGCCUUGAGCCUGACCCCCUG